rnacentral:lncRNA from 1 species
AACUGAUGACAUGAAACAGAGGCAAAUGAUGCACAAGCUGUUCAUUAAAGAAAUUGCCACUUGGCGGAGAGAGGGUGACACCUUUGGAUCAGACCCAUUGGGGAUGACACUCGGGGAAAUAGAAGGUUACAAAUUAUUCAUGAUUGAUUGAAAUGAAAAGAUAAAUGAAGCAAGACUCAUGAUGGUUAAUGCAGCCAUGUACGCAUGAUAUUGUCUUUAUUGUAUAUGCAUGAAUGUGUAUAUGUAUGAA